AUUGAACGCUGGCGGCAGGCCUAACACAUGCAAGUCGAGCGGAGCGGCGGACGGGUGAGUACUGCCUAGGAAUCUGCCUGGUAGUGGGGGGUAACGUCCGGAAACGGGCGCUAAUAACGCAUACUAUCAGAUGAGCCUAGGUCGGAUUAGCUAGUUGGUGGGGUAAAGGCCUACUAAGGCGACGAUCCCUAGCUGGUCGGAGAGGAUGACCAGCCAACGUGGAACGGAGUCACGGUCCAUACGCCUACGGGAGGCAGCAGUGGGGAAUAUUGCACAAUGUGCGCAAUCCUGAUGCAGCCAUGCCGCGUGUAUGAAGAGGGCCCUAGGGUUGUAAAGUACUUUCAGCGGGGAGGCGUUACCCGCAGAAGAAGCACCGGCUAACUCCGUGCCAGCAGCCGCGGUAAUAC
rnacentral:rRNA from 1 species